rnacentral:tRNA from 1 species
GAAAUAUUUUAUAUUAAGCUGCUAACUUAAUUUUUAGUGGAUAACUACCAUUAAUAUUUCU